rnacentral:rRNA from 1 species
UACGUAGGUGGCGAGCGUUGUCCGGAAUUACUGGGUGUAAAGGGCGUGUAGGCGGGUUUGCAAGUCGGAUGUGAAAUUCCCAGGCUCAACCUGGGCGCUGCAACCGAAACUGCAGAUCUUGAGUAUCGGAGAGGAAAGUGGAAUUCCCAGUGUAGCGGUAAAAUGCGUAGAGAUUGGGAGGAACACCGGUGGCGAAGGCGACUUUCUGGACGAUAACUGACGCUGAGGCGCGAAAGCGUGGGGAGCAAACAGG